GCUUGUUAGUCAUCGAAAUGGUGCUAAAAAUUAGUUGCUUAUUGUGUGUAAUUGCAACAAAUAUUAACGCUUGCCGUCAGAAUGAGACGCUAGGAUUUCUGGUUAGUUGCGAAUUUUCUUGCACCAAUUUAAAACAGACCUGUAGAUUUGCAACGACUUGUGUUUGCAAGAAACAACUUUUUCGCAACCACAAAAAUGGAUUGUGCGUGCUGGAAAAGAAUUGUCCUGACCAAAUUAAAUUGAUGAUUUUACAUAUAAUUUUCAGAAUUAAACAUAUUGUAUUAAGAUUUUUUCAGAUGUUUCUGCCAAGGCCGCUUGUUACUGCCAUCAAAUUACUAGUGACUAUUAGGCGUUUUUUGUUGUAAACGUAUUUUAGUACAAAUUCGUGUGCUAUCAACCUCAGUUCUCUU